rnacentral:rRNA from 1 species
CAGCCGCCGCGGUAAUACCGGCGGCCCGAGUGGCGGUCACUAUUAUUUGGCUUAAAACGUCCGUAGCCGGGUUGGGAAGUCCUCCGGGAAAUCUGGCCGCUUAACGGUCAGAAUGCCGGAGGAAACUCCCAGCCUAGGGAGCGGGGGAGGCCGAGGGUAUUCCCGGAGUAGGGGUGAAAUCCUAUAAUCCCGGGAGGACCACCUGUGGCGAAGGCGCUCGGCUGGAACGCGUCCGACGGUGAGGGACGAAGGCCAGGGGAGCAAACCGGAUUAGAUACCCGGGUAGUCCUGGCUGUAAACGAUGCGGACUUUGUGUCGGACAAGCUAUGAGCUUGUCCGGUGCCGGAGGGAAACCGUUAAGUCCGCCGCCUGGGGAGUACGGCCGCAAGGCUGAAACUUAAAGGAAUUGGCGGG